rnacentral:rRNA from 1 species
UACGGAGGGAGCUAGCGUUGUUCGGAAUUACUGGGCGUAAAGCGUGCGCAGGCGGUUAUGUAAGACAGAUGUGAAAUGCCCGGGCUCAACCUGGGAACUGCAUUUGUGACUGCAUGGCUAGAGUGUGUCGAGAGGGGGGUAGAAUUCCACGUGUAGCAGUGAAAUGCGUAGAUAUGUGGAGGAAUACCGAUGGCGAAGGCCAGCCCCCUGGGAUGACACUGACGCUCAUGCACGAAAGCGUGGGGAGCAAACAGG